AGGCGCGUAGCUCAGUGGGAGAGCGCUACAUUGACACUGUAGAGGUCGGCGGUUCAAUCCCGCCCGCGCCUACCA
rnacentral:tRNA from 2 species